CCGGGAAUUGGGUGGGGAGGGUGGCGGUUGUGCCGCGGCUCCGGAGCCGCUGUGACCUGGAGUGUGGCGGACAGAGAAGCGCAGCCGCCUCUCCACAGUUCCGCUAGCCGCGCCAAAUUCGCUCAGCCGCUCUGCAGAAUUUAUAAAAGGGAAAGAACUGAAUGAGCAACGCUUGGCUAACUUCCCCCUUCCCACCACAGGAAGAGAUUUUUGCUGUGAGGCGUGAGGGGACACUCCCUUAUCUGGAAGUCCCACGUCUCGUCGCAGCUUCAUUGCCUUCCCGCUGCAAAAAAGGGGUGGGGGCACAAUUUGCCAAGCCCUGUCCCCCAAUCUAGGACCUUUGAUCCCUGGAGUCUGCAGAUGUCGCUGUUAUAGGCUUGUCCCCCUCUCCACCCCAGACGUCUACCACCAGGUCUCCUUUCCCGGGAGCAAGCCCAUCCCUGGACGCUGCCGUUCAGCGCUUGGGAGACUGCAGGGGCGGGGAGCGUUGUGUGCCUGGUUUUGGGGUGCUGGGGGGCGAGGGCUUGUAGGUCCCGCGACCCACGGGGAGGGGGCAGGCGAGCACCCCGCUCCGGCCUCCGGCUAAUCCCCCUUCUCCAGCGUCGGUUCCCCGGUCCCGUGUUAUUCAAGACAGAAAAUAUUCAGCCCCAGAGCCUCCCCUGGGGAGGGGAGGGGAAGGAGGUGGAGUGGGAGGAGGUGGAUCCAGGGAGGAAGAAGCGAGAAAUCCGCCCCCGGGAAACAGCUCCGCGCGGCCACGGAGCGAGGCGCUUCUGUCACUUGGCGUUCGCGGGCGCCGGAGCUGGGCCCCGGCCCGGCCCGGCGAGGCGAGGGGAGAGUCCGGCGGCCGCCGCCCCGCCCCACGCCCUCCUGCGGCGGCCGAGAGCCCGGGGCCGGCCGGGGCAGGUCGCGGCGGUGCCUGGGAGCGGCCGG
rnacentral:lncRNA from 1 species